UACAGAGGUGGCAAGCGUUGUUCGGAAUUACUGGGCGUAAAGCGCGUGUAGGCGGCUCGAUAAGUCUGCUGUGAAAGUCCAAGGCUCAACCUUGGAAUGCCGGUGGAUACUGUCGGACUAGAGUGCGGAAGAGGCGAGUGGAAUUCCUGGUGUAGCGGUGAAAUGCGCAGAUAUCAGGAGGAACACCAAUUGCGAAGGCAGCUCGCUGGGACGUUACUGACGCUGAGACGCGAAAGCGUGGGGAGCAAACAGG
rnacentral:rRNA from 1 species